GGUGGUAGCACUGGAGCUUAUGGUAGCGGCACUUGGAAUUAUGGUAGUGGUGGUGGUAAUGUUGCUGGUGGAAACACUGAUGAAAGUGGUGCUGGAAAUUAUACUGUUGCUGGUGGCAGUGAUAGUUUUGAAAGCAGCAAUAUUGGCAGUGGGUAUGAUGGAAAUGCUGGGUUGGGACUCGGUGGUGACAGUGAUCAAUUGGGUGGCCAUGAAAGCAGCAGCUUGGAUGAUGCAGCUGGAGGAUUUGAUCAAGAUGAACCAUUGGAAGGAAGUUUCAGGGAUGAUGACGAUGCUGAUGACUUUGCCAAAAGGGCGUGACAACCGCCUUCUCUUUUGGAAGCAGUAGAACUUGCUUCCACUCCAUAUUUAAAAUAGACGCCAUUUUUGUCAAGUUUUUCUUUUCCCUCACUCUUGUGUCCCUGGACAGUUUGCAUCAUUUGUCAAUUUGUCGCUGUGAAGUAAAACUUUGAAGUGUUGUUAUUUGCAAGCAACAAAGUCUUUCACUAGAAAUAAUUCUAGUUGCAAUUAAUGUUUUUCCUGUUUUCUCCCUGACCAAAAAAAAAACUUGACAAAAAUGGCGUCUAUUUU
rnacentral:misc_RNA from 1 species